rfam:Ovis aries breed Texel chromosome 3, whole genome shotgun sequence.
AUUUAAAAUGAAAAAUAAAAGUAUUUGGAAUAAUACCGGAGAAGAUUAGCAUGGCUCCUGUGCAAGAAUGACAUGCACAUUCAUAAAGGAAAUUGUGUCGUUU